CACGAAGUCCUGUUAAGUGAGAGAUUCGAGAUACUUUGAGAAGGCUUGUGUUGACUGUCUUCUUCUUUUGAGGAAGUGGUUGGCACAUAGUCAACCAAAUGAUGCAUUUCUCUCACUUACGCUGGAGCUCUGACUGCUCAUUAAAUGUUAAUUGCUUGGCUAAGUGAUGUAGAACCUCGGUUCUAAACUUACUUAGCUGAGUGUAAAUUACACAUUAUGGUGAGCAGGUGAAUUACUUACAAUCGUAAGUGCUUCAGAUCAUUAGUAUCGGUGAGGUAUUAAUUGAUGUCGUAUCGUGAUCUUCAAGUCAUUGAAGUCUCGGUACACACACCAGUUACAAAUACCUCAAUCGCUUACUAAUCGAUGAUCCAGAGUAAGUAGGUCGGUCAUCCAUCUGACCCGUCUUGAAACACGGACCAAGGAGCCCAACAUGUAUGCGAGUCGCACAGUCUUGCAUAGGCUCGUGAGGCGAAAUAAACAUAAUGGUGUGAUCCUUCUCCUUAAUUGAAGAAUGAGCAACACCAACCUGUUCACACUAUUCUAGUUGAACGGCGUUCGAGCAUACACGCUGGUACCCGAAAGAUGGUGAACUAUACUUGGGCAAGACGAAGCCAGAGGAAAGUCUGGUGGAGGUCUGUAGCGAUUCUGACGUGCAAAUCGAUCGUCAGACC
rnacentral:rRNA from 1 species